GUUCUCAUUGCAGCAAUCCAACAAAUUUCCCUUGAAAAUUACCUUGAGAACUG
rnacentral:other from 1 species